rnacentral:rRNA from 1 species
UACGGGGGGAGCAAGCGUUGUUCGGAUUUACUGGGCGUAAAGGGCGCGUAGGCGGCCACCGCAAGUCGACUGUGAAAUCUCCGGGCUUAACCCGGAAAGGUCAGCCGAUACUGCGGGGCUAGAGUGCAGAAGGGGCAACUGGAAUUCCGGGUGUAGCGGUGGAAUGCGUAGAGAUCCGGAAGAACACCGGUGGCGAAGGCGGCCUGCUGGGCAGUUGCUGACGCUGAGGCGCGACAGCGUGGGGAGCAAACAGG